rnacentral:rRNA from 1 species
UACGUAGGGUGCAAGCGUUGUCCGGAAUUAUUGGGCGUAAAGAGCUUGUAGGCGGUUUGUCGCGUCUGCUGUGAAAUUUCGGGGCUCAACCCCGAACUUGCAGUGGGUACGGGCAGACUAGAGUGUGGUAGGGGAGACUGGAAUUCCUGGUGUAGCGGUGAAAUGCGCAGAUAUCCGGAGGAACACCAGCGGCGAAGGCGGCUUUCUGGUCCGAUUCUGACGCUGAGACGCGAAAGCGUGGGGAGCGAUCCGG